GGAAUCUCAAACACGCGUUUUCGGGUUGCCUAUUCGUCCCUCUUUUUGUAGAGCAAUAUUUACCAAGGAUGACCUCAGAGUAGAGCUCGAGAUGGAUCCCACAUUGCCGGCAGUGUUGCUGAUGGGCGGGGGUGAAGGGAUGGGACCAGUGAAAAAAACUGCAAAGGCUCUUGGAGAAGCUCUUUUCGAUAAAGAAAUGGAGAAACCUAUUGGGCAAAUGGUUGUCAUAUGUGGACGCAAUGAAGAGCUAGCUUCCACAUUACAAUCACUCGAAUGGAACAUCCCAGUCAAGAUUAAAGGAUUUCAGAAACAGAUGGAGAAGUGGAUGGGCGCUUGCGACUGUAUUAUCA
rnacentral:misc_RNA from 1 species